UACGGAGGGUGCAAGCGUUAUCCGGAUUCACUGGGUUUAAAGGGUGCGUAGGUGGGUUGGUAAGUCAGUGGUGAAAUCUCCGAGCUUAACUUGGAAACUGCCAUUGAUACUAUCAGUCUUGAAUACCGUGGAGGUCAGCGGAAUAUGUCAUGUAGCGGUGCAAUGCUUAGAUAUGACAUAGAACACCAAUUGCGAAGGCAGCUGACUACGCGAAUAUUGACACUGAUGCACGAAAGCGUGGGGAUCAAACAGG
rnacentral:rRNA from 1 species